rnacentral:rRNA from 1 species
CUUCCAGACUCCUACGGGAGGCAGCAGUGGGGGAUAUUGCACAAUGGGGGGAACCCUGAUGCAGCGACGCCGCGUGGGUGAAGAAGUAUUUCGGUCUGUAAAGCCCUAUCGGCAGGGAAGAAAUUGGACGGUACCUGACUAAGAAGCCCCGGCUAACUACGUGCCAGCAGCCGCGGUAAUACGUAGGGAGCAAGCGGUGUCCGGAUUUACUGGGUGUAAAGGGAGCGUAGACGGACUUGCAAGUCUGAUGUGAAAAUCCGGGGCCCAACCCCGGGACUGCAUUGGAAACUGUAUAUCUAGAGUGUCGGAGAGGCAAGUGGAAUUCCUGGUGUAGCGGUGAAAUGCGUAGAUAUCAGGAGGAACACCAGUGGCGAAGGCGGCUUGCUGGACGAUGACUGACGUUGAGGCUCGAAAGCGUGGGGAGCAAACAGGAUUAGAUACCCUUGUA